AAGCAUGUCAGAAGGACACCUUUUGGUUAAUUGCUUGUAUCUUUCCCAAGCUUCAUAGAAAGAUUCACCUUCCUUCUAUUUGAAGGUUUGGACUUCCACUCUAAGCUU